rnacentral:tRNA from 1 species
GCUCGCGUGGCGGAAUUGGUAGACGCAAGGGACUUAAAAUCCCUCGAUCUUUUAGGUCGUGCCAGUUCGAUUCUGGCCGCGAGCA